AUCGACGCCGCGUGUGGGAAGAGGGCCUUCGGGUUGUAAACCACUGUCGGGAGUUAGGAAGUGUAGGGGUGUUAAUAGCGCCUCUACUUGACUAAGGCUCCGGAGGAAGCCACGGCUAACUCUGUGCCAGCAGCCGCGGUAAUACAGAGGCGGCAAGCGUUGUUUGGAAUUACUGGGCUUAAAGAGCACGUAGGCGGCCUCGCAAGUCACUUGUGAAAGCCGGCGGAUUAACGGAGGAACCCCAACCGAUACUCCUGCCCUACAGUGCGCGAGGGGAGAUUGGAACUUCUGGUGAUGCGGUGAUUUGCGUACGCAUCAGUAGGAACGCUGGCGGCGAAAGCGGUUCUCUGGCAGUAACUGACUCUGAUGUGCGAAAGUUAGGGGAGCCAACAGGAUUAGAUACCCCCGUAGACCUAGCCGUAAACGAUGGGCACUAAGUAGAGGGGUUUU
rnacentral:rRNA from 1 species